CAUUUCUGUUUUCCAAGGGGAUUUGAAACAUUCUCAGAUUGACAUGUUUUCGACCUAUUCACGCAUUUGAGUUUCGAUGCGAGAAUGUCUGUUAAUGACACCGAUUCUUCGAUAUCGUAAUCCUGGUAAUUGUCGUGGCCUACUACAAUUUGGUUUCGGAUUUUCGCAGAAAAACCGCGCAUGCAGGCGUUGCCAGAUCGGAAAGUAAAAAAAAAAAAAAAAGCUGUGCAACUAAGAAUGGAAUGGACUUAAUUCUCCACCGUAACUUUCCCACGACAACGGAAACACACUGUGAAUUGUGUAUGCAAUUUUCACUCCAAUAUACGUUGGCAGCCACUCAGCAACACACACAUGCAGAGCUCCCACAUGCGCUGCGUACGUGUACUGUGCAUGCGGAUGUGUGCGAGAAGCCCGCGGAAAAGCACAACAAGAACAACAAUAGAACGGAGAUUAUCAUACGAUACUUGUGAGCACCAAUAAAACGAAUCCACAUGAGCGUUUCACAGAGCAA